rnacentral:misc_RNA from 1 species
UUUCCGUAGGUGAACCUGCGGAAGGAUCAUUAUUGUAUAACCGAGAUGCGAGGGCUGUCGCUGACCCGAAAGGUCGUGCACGCCCGAGUGCCCUCACACGCAUCCAUCUCACCCCUAUGUGCACCACCGCGUGGGUCCCCCUUUGGCUUGUUCGGAGGGGGGCUUACGUUUUCACACAAACUUUGUAUGCAGUGUAGAAUGUAUUUUUUGUUUUUGCGAUCACGUAAUCAAUACAACUUUCAACAACGGAUCUCUUGGCUCUC